rnacentral:rRNA from 1 species
GAUGAACGCUGACAGCAUGCUUAACACAUGCAAGUCCACCUUUGGCGAACGGGUGAGUGACGCGUAAAGUACUUUCCUCACUGCUAGCGACAACAUUUGGAAACGAAUGCUAAUACCUGAUACUGUGUGAGAGCUUUGCGUCGCAUUAGCUAGUUGGAGAGGUAACGGCUCACCAAGGCGAUGAUGGGUAGCCGGCCUGAGAGGGUGAUCGGCCACACGGGGACUGGGGCACGGCCCUUACUCCUACGGGGGGUAGGAGUGGGGAGUAUUGGUGAACGGACCAAAGUCUGAUCCAGCAAUUCUGUGUGGAGGAUGAAGUUUUGGGAAUGUAAAGUGCUUUCAGUGGGGAAGCGGUACCAACAGAAGAAGGGACGGCUAAAUACGUGCCAGCAGCCGCGGUAAUAC